rnacentral:rRNA from 1 species
GAUGAACGCUGGCGGCGUGCUUAACACAUGCAAGUCGAACGGUGAACACGGAGCUUGCUCUGUGGGAUCAGUGGCGAACGGGUGAGUAACACGUGAGCAACCUGCCCCUGACUCUGGGAUAAGCGCUGGAAACGGCGUCUAAUACUGGAUAUGUGACGUGACCGCAUGGUCUGCGUUUGGAAAGAUUUUUCGGUUGGGGAUGGGCUCGCGGCCUAUCAGCUUGUUGGUGAGGUAAUGGCUCACCAAGGCGUCGACGGGUAGCCGGCCUGAGAGGGUGACCGGCCACACUGGGACUGAGACACGGCCCAGACUCCUACGGGAGGCAGCAGUGGGGAAUAUUGCACAAUGGGCGAAAGCCUGAUGCAGCAACGCCGCGUGAGGGAUGACGGCCUUCGGGUUGUAAACCUCUUUUAGCAGGGAAGAAGCGAAAGUGACGGUACCUGCAGAAAAAGCGCCGGCUAACUACGUGCCAGCCGCCGCCGUAA